GAUGAACGCUAGCUACAGGCUUAACACAUGCAAGUCGAGGGGCAGCAUGAACAUAGCUUGCUAUGUUUGAUGGCGACCGGCGCACGGGUGCGUAACACGUAUCCAAUCUACCCAUGGCUCGGGAUAGCCUUUCGAAAGAAAGAUUAAUACCCGAUGGUCUCGGUUUAAGGCAUCUUAGACUGAGUAAAGAUUUAUCGGCGAUGGAUUGGGAUGCGUCUUAUUAGGUAGAUGGCGGGGUAACGGCCCACCAUGCCUACGAUCAGUAGGGGUUCUGCGGGGAAGGUCCAGCACAUUGGAACUGAGACACGGUCCAAACUCCUACGGGAGGCAGCAGUGAGGAAUAUUGGUCAAUGGACGAGAGUCUGAACCAGCCAAGUAGCGUGAAGGAUGACUGCCCUAUGGGUUGUAAACUUCUUUUGUUUGGGAAUAAAGUUCGGGACGUGUCCCGUUUUGUAUGUACCAUUCGAAUAAGCAUCGGCUAAUUCCGUGCCAGCCGCCGCCGUAACAC
rnacentral:rRNA from 1 species